rnacentral:lncRNA from 1 species
GUCUUUGUUAGCUACUGCUCUUUCCUCAUAUUGUGUCUAACUUGAAAUCAUAGAAUCACACAAUGGUUUGAGUUGGAAGGGGUCUUUAAUCCCACCCAGUCCAAGUCUCUGCCAUUCAGCCUGGCCUGGGACACCUCCAGGGAUGGGACACAUCCACAGCUCCUCUGGGCAGUGCCUCACCACUAACAGGCUGAAAAAUUACUACAUACUGUCUCUCAAGCUACUUCAUAAUAGGCAGAAUUCAAUCACAACGGACUGAAACCAAAGCCAG